rnacentral:lncRNA from 1 species
AGCUACUGUAAAUGGUGCUGCUGCAAACUCUUUCACAAGCCUUUGUCUGAACAUCUGUUCUCAGUUCUUUUGGAUCUAUGGAGUGAAAUAGCUCGGUCAUAUGACAACAUCAUGUUUGACUUCCUGACGAGCCACCAUCCAGGGCAGUUGCACCAUCCUACACUCCCACCAGCAAUGCACAAGGAUUCCAGUUUUUUCAUAUCCUCACCAACACUUGUUAUUUUCGUUCAAAACCAUCCAAGGGGUAUGUGAUGGUAUCUAACCUGAGCUUCGGUACACUUGUCAGGGACACAGCGUCUGGUCUCAGUUGCAGGUGGCCUGAAUGCAGAGACCUAGCAUCCAUGGCUUUAAAGAUCUGCCCUCUGGGGAACUUCCGACAGGUGGCAGGGGUAUGGGCAGUCUCAGGGUGCCGUCUGUGGCCAUAUGGUUGCAGUCUUGUCAGUUAUCUGACCAGAUGACAGGGGCCUGAGAGGAGAGGGGAUGGGAAAGACAGAGAGAAGGCAGAGAAGUUCCAGGAAAUGUUGGGUUUGAGCCCCGCUUUGCUUCUGCUACUAGUGUUGAGUAAACCAAAACAUGAACUCAUUGUGGUUCAAUGUGCAGGAUAAAUUGCAUCACAGCAAAUGCCAGAGAACAUAAUAUGCAUGUUCUGCACUCAUCCUGGGAUUUCCUUGGCAAUCAUUACCACGGACCUGCUGUGUACUUUCAUGCA